rnacentral:rRNA from 1 species
GCUCAACCGUUAAUAUAAACAGUACAACACAAAACUGUUCGCCAGAGAACUACAAGUAUAAAACUAGAAACUCUAAGGACUUGGCGGUGCUCCACACCACCCUAGAGGAGCCUGUCCUAUAAUCGAUACCCCCCGAUACACCUUACCAUUUUUUGAAGCUCAGCCUAUAUACCGCCGUCGUCAGCCUACCUUAUGAAAGAAGAAAAGUAGGCAAAAAAGUCAUUAACUAGAACGUCAGGUCAAGGUGUAGUAUACAAAAUGGCAGAGAUGGGCUACACUCUCUUAAAAAGAAAACACGAACAGCAUAAUGAAAUAAUGCCUUAAGGCGGAUUUAGCAAUAAGACACGCAAGAAUGCCUGUCUGAAACAAGCCCUGGAGCGCGCACACACCGCCCGUCA